rnacentral:rRNA from 1 species
AUUGAACGCUGGCGGCAUGCCUUACACAUGCAAGUCGAACGGCAGCGGGGGAGAAGCUUGCUUUUCCUGCCGGCGAGUGGCGAACGGGUGAGUAAUACAUUGGAACGUGCCCUGUAGUGGGGGAUAACUAGUCGAAAGAUUAGCUAAUACCGCAUACGACCUGAGGGUGAAAGUGGGGGACCGCAAGGCCCCAUGCUAUAGGAGCGGCCGAUGUCUGAUUAGCUAGUUGGUGGGGUAAAGGCCUACCAAGGCGACGAUCAGUAGCUGGUCUGAGAGGACGAUCAGCCACACUGGGACUGAGACACGGCCCAGACUCCUACGGGAGGCAGCAGUGGGGAAUUUUGGACAAUGGGCGAAAGCCUGAUCCAGCAAUGCCGCGUGUGUGAAGAAGGCCUUCGGGUUGUAAAGCACUUUUGUCCGGAAAGAGAUGGCUCUGGUUAGUACCUGGGGUCGAUGACGGUACCGGAAGAAUAAGGACCGGCUAACUACGUGCCAGCCGCCGCCGUAA